rnacentral:rRNA from 1 species
UACGGAGGGUGCAAGCGUUAAUCGGAAUUACUGGGCGUAAAGCGCACGCAGGCGGUCUUUUAAGUCAGAUGUGAAAUCCCCGGGCUUAACCUGGGAACUGCGUUUGAAACUGAAAGGCUAGAGUGUGGCAGAGGGGGGUGGAAUUCCACGUGUAGCAGUGAAAUGCGUAGAGAUGUGGAGGAACACCGAUGGCGAAGGCAGCCCCCUGGGCUAACACUGACGCUCAUGCACGAAAGCGUGGGGAGCAAACAGG